CAGACCUUUGUCGUGUUAAGAUGAUCAUGACAACUAUUAAUAUAAACAGGUUGGUGCCACCACACCCCUUCAGUCCAGCCUCUGACACCUGGAGACAGGAUGAUGCAUGCUCCUCUGCUGCUAGCCCACUGGACCAGUCUUGGUCACAGCCCCAGGGAACAGACCUGAGAACACAGCUGCUUCAUUCUAAAGCCCCACCCCCUCUUCUCCAUGGCCACACCCAGGGAACCGAAUCAGCCUCCCGUGUCCCCCCACCUUGACUCCCACCUUCUGAAGGUGGCCAUUAGGGUGGUCCAGAAGGCUGGGGAAGCACAGACAAGGGUAACUGCAAACCGACAGCACAAUGGGAUACCUCAGCAUCCCGCCAGGAUGGCUGUAACUCAAACGACAGCAACACCAAUGCAGGUGAG
rnacentral:lncRNA from 1 species